GUGGUGGGCACAAUACCAUAAACUCCAGUCAGAAGAGGUGAAGUUUCUAGUUAGGCACCGGCUUGAAUUCUCCAUAUUUGAUGGCAUAUGUACGUUGUGCCUUCAGCAAUAAGACCUCACCAUCAGGUUAUGAGGGGCAACCAAUAGCCUUGAUAAUAGUCUGUGAUGUUUGGGGGACUCCUUUGGCCAACAGAUCAACAGAAUGUAACCCGUUCUUGGCAUUGGGGGAGGGGGAGUUACUCUGUGGCAUAAGACAUCUAGUUGGCCAUUGUCUCCCACAAUAGAGGGUAACUCCAUUUAAAUCCUUUCCAUAGAUGUAUGUGAGGAGGCGUCUGCAGUAGUCGGCUUCAUUCAUAUGGCUUUUCAAAAGCCCUCUAGUAUGAGUGGUCCCUCUCCAUAGUCCUAUCUUCACCCUGUCUGCCCAUCCCCCUAUACAUUUAAAGUUCCUACUUUCCCCCUUUAUCUCUUGAAGAUACUAUAUUCUAUUUUCCAUUCCUUGGAAGAAUGCAUCCUCUUCCUUAGUCUUUCACUUGCUACAUAAGCUUGUGGUUAUUAUUGAAACACAUAUAUCUAAACUUGAAAGGAGAAAACAUACACUAUUUGUCUUCUGGGGCCCGGGUUACCUCACUCAGGAUGGUCAUUUCCAACUCCACCCAUUUACCUGAAAAUCCCAUUUUAUUUAAAAGCUUACUAAUAUCCCAUUGUGUGAAUUUACUACAUUUUAUUAUCUAUUCAUCACUUGGUGGAUGUGUAGACUGUUUCUAAUGUCUGGCUAUUAUGAAUGAAAGCAGUAGUGAACAUAGAUAAACAAGUACCACGGAAAUAAAAUGCCGAGUCCUGCCUUAGUUUGGGUUGCCAUUACUCUGAUGAAUAAUGGUCAAAAGCAAGCUGGCAAGAAAGGUCUUAACUGAGUUAUAUUUCCACAUCCAUAGACGAUCCGUGAAGGAACUCAAACAGGGCAGGAGCAUGGAGGCAGGAGCUGAUGGGGAGGACAUUGGGAGUUCUGCUUACUGGCUUGCUUAUCAUGGCUUGCUCAGUCUGCUUUCUUAUAGGACCCAGAAUUACCAGCCCAUGGAUGACACCACUCACAAUGUGCACUACCCACUUCAAUUACUAAUGUCCUAAGACUGGAUUUUAGGAAGGCAUUUUUGUUUUUCAACCAAGGUUUCCUCCUUUCAAAUGACUAGCUUGUAUCACGUUGACAUAAAACUAGCCAGCACAAGUCCUUGGGGUAUAUGCUCAAGAGUGGUAUAGCUAGAUCUUGUGUUGAUCAAUUGUCAGCGUUUUGAGGAACCUCCACACUGCUUUCCGUAGUGACCUUACCAGACCCCACUCCUACUGGCAGUGAGUGAGUGUCCCCUUCCCCUGCACUUUGGCCAGCAUGCACUGUCAUUUGUUUUAUUAAUCUUGGCCAUUCCGAUGGAGGUAAGAUGCAAUCCCAAAGUAGUUUCAAUUUUCAUUCGUUGAUGGCUUAGGAUGUUGAACAUUUUGAAAAGCGUUUUUGAUCCAUUUGUAUUUCAUUUUUAGAGAACUUCCUGUCUAGUCCUGUACUCCAUUUUUAACUGGAUUAUUUGUUUUCUUGAUCGGUUUCUUGAAUUCCGUAAAUAUUCUAGAUACUAGCCGUCUGUAAGAUGUAGAAUGGGUAAACAUUUCUCCACAUUCUGUAUUCUGUUGCUUGGUUCGAAUGAUGCUAUACAGAAGUUUUUUUGGUCAUUUAUUAACUUUAUAAAAAAGUUUUUUUUGGUCAUUUAUUAACUGUUGGUCUUCUGACAUUUGACAAAAAUUAUACGCUGUUUAAAAAAAAAGAGAGCGCCUUCAAUAAAUGGUGCUGGUCAAACUGGGUGACUUCAUGUACAGGAAUGCAAAUAUUUCCAUAUCUAUCAUCCUGCACAAAGCUCAACUUCAAAUGGAUCCAAGACCUCAACAUGAGGCCAGAAACCCUAGAUCUGAUGGAAGCAGGAGGGUGAUAGUCUUGAACUCAAUGGCACAGGACAGAACUUCUGAGCAGGACACGGACAGCGUAGGCACUAAGACCAGCAAUAAAACAGGACCUCAGAAGCUGAAAAGCUUCAGUAAGGACACUGUCUUAGUUAGGGCUUUACUGCUGUGAACAGACACCAUGACCAAGGCAACUCUUAUAAAGACAAUAUUUAAUUGGGCUGGCUUACAGAUUCAGUAGUUUAGUCCAUUAUCAUCAAGGCAGGAACAUGGCAGCAUCCAGGCAGGCAUGGUGCAGGAGGAGCUGAGAGUUCUACAUCUUCAUCUGAAGGCUCCUAGAAGAAUACUGACUUCUAGGCAGCUAGGAUGAGGGUCUUAAAUCCCACACCCAGAGUGACACACCUACUCCAACAAGGCUACACCUCCUAAUAGUGUCACUCGCUGGCCCAAGCAUAUACAAAUCAUCAAUGACACCAUCAUUUGAGCAAGGCAGCAGCCUACAGAACAGGAAAACGUCUUUACCAGUUAUACAUCUAUAGAGAGUUAGUUUCUAGAACAU
rnacentral:lncRNA from 1 species